UACGUAGGGUCCGAGCGUUGUCCGGAAUUACUGGGCGUAAAGAGCUCGUAGGUGGUUUGUCGCGUUGUCCGUGAAAACUCACAGCUCAACUGUGGGCGUGCGGGCGAUACGGGCAGACUGGAGUACUGCAGGGGGAGACUGGAAUUCCUGGUGUAGCGGUGGAAUGCGCAGAUAUCAGGAGGAACACCAAUAGCGAAGGCAGCUCGCUGGGACGUUACUGACACUGAGGCGCGAAAGCGUGGGGAGCGAACAGG
rnacentral:rRNA from 1 species